rnacentral:rRNA from 1 species
GCCGUAGCGAAAGCGAGUUUUAACUGAGCGUUCAGUUACUUGACGUAGACCCGAAACCGGGCGACCUACCCAUGAGCAGGAUGAAGCGAAAGUAAAAUUUCGUGGAGGUCCGAACCCACGAGCGUUGAAAAGCUCGGGGAUGACUUGUGGGUAGCGGUGAAAUUCCAAUCGAGCCCGGAGAUAGCUGGUUCUCCCCGAAAUAGCUUUAGGGCUAGCCUCAAGGUGAGAGAUACGGAGGUAGAGCACUGAAUGUCCUAGGGGGUAUUGCACCUACCGAAGACUAUCAAACUCCGAAUGCCGUCAUCUUAUACUUGGGAGUCAGACUGUGGGUGAUAAGAUUCAUAGUCGAAAGGGCAACAGCCCAGAUCGUCAGCUAAGGUCCCUAAAUGUAAGUUAAGUGGUAAAGGAUGUGGGAUUGCACAGACAACCAGGAUGUUGGCUUAGAAGCAGCCACUCAUUCAAAGAGUGCGUAAUAGCUCACUGGUCGAGUGAUCCUGCGCCGAAGAUUUCCGGGGCUAAAACUUACUACCGAAGCUACGGCAUCAGUAAUGAUGGGUAGGGGAGCUUCCCAUACGGGUUGAAGCAUGACCGUAAGGACAUGUGGACAGUAUGGGAGUGAGAAUGUUGGCAUGAGUAGCGAGAUGUGGGUGAGAAUCCCACAGGCCGUAAACCCAAGGUUUCCAGGGGAAGGUUCGUCCGCCCUGGGUUAGUCGGGACCUAAGCUGAGGCCGAAAGGCGUAGGUGAUGGACAACAGGUUGAUAUUCCUGUAC